rnacentral:rRNA from 1 species
AGUGAACGCUGGCGGUAGGCCUAACACAUGCAAGUCGAACGGCAGCACAGUAAGAGCUUGCUCUUACGGGUGGCGAGUGGCGGACGGGUGAGGAAUACAUCGGAAUCUACUUUUUCGUGGGGGAUAACGUAGGGAAACUUACGCUAAUACCGCAUACGACCUACGGGUGAAAGCAGGGGAUCUUCGGACCUUGCGCGAUUGAAUGAGCCGAUGUCGGAUUAGCUAGUUGGCGGGGUAAAGGCCCACCAAGGCGACGAUCCGUAGCUGGUCUGAGAGGAUGAUCAGCCACACUGGAACUGAGACACGGUCCAGACUCCUACGGGAGGCAGCAGUGGGGAAUAUUGGACAAUGGGCGCAAGCCUGAUCCAGCUAUACCGCGUGGGUGAAGAAGGCCUUCGGGUUGUAAAGCCCUUUUGUUGGGAAGGAAAAGCAGCAGGUUAAUACCCCGCUGUUCUGACGGUACCCAAAGAAUAAGCACCGGCUAACUUCGUG